AAAUUGAAGAGUUUGAUCAUGGCUCAGAUUGAACGCUGGCGGCAGGCCUAACACAUGCAAGUCGAACGGUAACAGGAAACAGCUUGCUGUUUCGCUGACGAGUGGCGGACGGGUGAGUAAUGUCUGGGAAACUGCCUGAUGGAGGGGGAUAACUACUGGAAACGGUAGCUAAUACCGCAUAAUGUCGCAAGACCAAAGAGGGGGACCUUCGGGCCUCUUGCCAUCGGAUGUGCCCAGAUGGGAUUAGCUUGUUGGUGGGGUAACGGCUCACCAAGGCGACGAUCCCUAGCUGGUCUGAGAGGAUGACCAGCCACACUGGAACUGAGACACGGUCCAGACUCCUACGGGAGGCAGCAGUGGGGAAUAUUGCACAAUGGGCGCAAGCCUGAUGCAGCCAUGCCGCGUGUAUGAAGAAGGCCUUCGGGUUGUAAAGUACUUUCAGCGGGGAGGAAGGGAGUAAAGUUAAUACCUUUACUCAUUGACGUUACCCGCAGAAGAAGCACCGGCUAACUCCGUGCCAGCAGCCGCGGUAAUACGGAGGGUGCAAGCGUUAAUCGGAAUUACUGGGCGUAAAGCGCACGCAGGCGGUUUGUUAAGUCAGAUGUGAAAUCCCCGGGCUCAACCUGGGAACUGCAUCUGAUACUGGCAAGCUUGAGUCUCGUAGAGGGGGUAGAAUUCCAGGUGUAGCGGUGAAAUGCGUAGAGAUCUGGAGGAAUACCGGUGGCGAAGGCGGCCCCCUGGACGAAGACUGACGCUCAGGUGCGAAAGCGUGGGGAGCAAACAGGAUUAGAUACCCUGGUAGUCCACGCCGUAAACGAUGUCGACUUGGAGGUUGUGCCCUUGAGGCGUGGCUUCCGGAGCUAACGCGUUAAGUCGACCGCCUGGGGAGUACGGCCGCAAGGUUAAAACUCAAAUGAAUUGACGGGGGCCCGCACAAGCGGUGGAGCAUGUGGUUUAAUUCGAUGCAACGCGAAGAACCUUACCUGGUCUUGACAUCCACGGAAGUUUUCAGAGAUGAGAAUGUGCCUUCGGGAACCGUGAGACAGGUGCUGCAUGGCUGUCGUCAGCUCGUGUUGUGAAAUGUUGGGUUAAGUCCCGCAACGAGCGCAACCCUUAUCCUUUGUUGCCAGCGGUCCGGCCGGGAACUCAAAGGAGACUGCCAGUGAUAAACUGGAGGAAGGUGGGGAUGACGUCAAGUCAUCAUGGCCCUUACGACCAGGGCUACACACGUGCUACAAUGGCGCAUACAAAGAGAAGCGACCUCGCGAGAGCAAGCGGACCUCAUAAAGUGCGUCGUAGUCCGGAUUGGAGUCUGCAACUCGACUCCAUGAAGUCGGAAUCGCUAGUAAUCGUGGAUCAGAAUGCCACGGUGAAUACGUUCCCGGGCCUUGUACACACCGCCCGUCACACCAUGGGAGUGGGUUGCAAAAGAAGUAGGUAGCUUAACCUUCGGGAGGGCGCUUACCACUUUGUGAUUCAUGACUGGGGUGAAGUCGUAACAAGGUAACCGUAGGGGAACCUGCGGUUGGAUCACCUCCUUACCUUAAAGAAGC
rnacentral:rRNA from 1 species